GGGCCUGCGUUUCAUUAGCUAGCUUGGUAGGGUAAUGGCCUACCAAGGCAACGAUGAGUAGCUGGUCUGAGAGGAUGAUCAGCCACACUGGAACUGAAACACGGUCCAGACUCCUACGGGAGGCAGCAGUGGGGAAUAUUGCGCAAUGGGCGAAAGCCUGACGCAGCAACGCCGUGUGAGGGAUGAAGGCUUUCGGGUCGUAAACCUCUGUCGGAAGGGAAGAACGGGCAUUGGUCUAAUAGGCCUUUGUUUUGACGGUACCUUUAGAGGAAGCACCGGCUAACUCCGUGCCAGCAGCCGCGGUAAUACGGAGGGUGCAAGCGUUAUUCGGAAUUACUGGGCGUAAAGCGCACGUAGGCCGCUUUGUAAGUCAGGGGUGAAAUCCCACGGCUCAACCGUGGAACUGCCCUCGAAACUGCAGAGCUUGAAUCCUGGAGAGGGUGGCGGAAUUCCUGGUGUAGGAGUGAAAUCCGUAGAUAUCAGGAGGAACACCGGUGGCG
rnacentral:rRNA from 1 species